CAGUUCAGAUUGCAGGCUGAAACUCGCCUGCAUGAAGUCGGAAUUGCUAGUAAUCGCAGAUCAGCAUGCUGCGGUGAAUACGUUCCCGGGCCUUGUACACACCGCCCGUCACACCAUGGGAGUCGGUAACACCCGAAGUCGGUAGCCUAACCGUAAGGAGGGCGCCGCCGAAGGUGGGAUUGAUGACUGGGGUGAAGUCGUAACAAGGUAGC
rnacentral:rRNA from 1 species